rnacentral:rRNA from 1 species
UACGAAGGGGGCUAGCGUUGUUCGGAAUUACUGGGCGUAAAGCGCACGUAGGCGGAUAUUUAAGUCAGGGGUGAAAUCCCGGGGCUCAACCCCGGAACUGCCUUUGAUACUGGGUAUCUAGAGUCCGGAAGAGGUGAGUGGAAUUCCGAGUGUAGAGGUGAAAUUCGUAGAUAUUCGGAGGAACACCAGUGGCGAAGGCGAGUCCUGAGCCGAUACCUGACACUGAUGGCAGCGAAAGGCUAAAGGGGGAGCGGAA